GACGAACGCUGGCGGCGUGCUUAACACAUGCCAGUCGAACGGAAAGGCCCCUUUGGUGGUACUCGAGCGGCGGACGGGUGAGUAACACGUGAGUAACCUGCCCUUGACUUCGUGAUAACUUCAGGAAACUGGGGCUAAUACCGGAUAGGAAUCCUUGCUGCAUGGUGGGGGUUGGAAAGCUUCGGCGGUUUUGGAUGGACUCGCGGCUUAUCAGCUUGUUGGUGGGGUAGUGGCUUACCAAGGCUUUGACGGGUAGCCGGCCUGAGAGGGCGACCGGCCACAUUGGGACUGAGAUACGGCCCAGACUCCUACGGGAGGGAGCAGGGGGGAAUAUUGCACAAUGGGCGGAAGCCUGAUGCAGCAACGCCGCGUGCGGGAUGACGGCCUUCGGGGUGUAAACCGCUUUUAGCAGGGGCGAAGCUUGUGGUGACGGUACCUGCAGAAGAAGCACCGGCUAACUACGUG
rnacentral:rRNA from 1 species